rnacentral:rRNA from 1 species
UACGGAGGGGGCAAGCGUUGUUCGGAAUUACUGGGCGUAAAGGGCGUGUAGGCGGCGGUUUUAGUCAGGCGUGAAAGCCCGGGGCUCAACCUCGGAAUAGCGCUUGAUACUGAACUGCUUGAGACCGGAAGAGGGUAGUGGAAUUCCCAGUGUAGAGGUGAAAUUCGUAGAUAUUGGGAAGAACACCAGUGGCGAAGGCG